rnacentral:rRNA from 1 species
AGAGUUUGAUCCUGGCUCAGGAUGAACGCUGGCGGCGUGCCUAACACAUGCAAGUCGAACGAAGCACUUUCUUUGAUCCCCUUCGGGGGUGAAGAGGAAGUGACUUAGUGGCGGACGGGUGAGUAACGCGUGGGUAACCUGCCUCAUACAGGGGGAUAACAGCCGGAAACGGCUGCUAAGACCGCAUAAAAUAGAACUGACGCAUGUCAGUUCUAUCAAAUAUUCAUAGGUAUGAGAUGGACCCGCGUCUGAUUAGCUAGUUGGUGGGGUAAUAGCCUACCAAGGCGACGAUCAGUAGCCGGCUUGAGAGAGUGACCGGCCACAUUGGGACUGAGACACGGCCCAAACUCCUACGGGAGGCAGCAGUGGGGAAUAUUGCACAAUGGGGGAAACCCUGAUGCAGCGACGCCGCGUGAGUGAAGAAGUAUUUCGGUAUGUAAAGCUCUAUCAGCAGGGAAGAAAAUGACGGUACCUGACUAAGAAGCCCCGGCUAACUACGUGCCAGCAGCCGCGGUAAUACGUAGGGGGCAAGCGUUAUCCGGAUUUACUGGGUGUAAAGGGAGCGUAGACGGCUGGGCAAGUCUGAAGUGAAAGCCCGGGGCUCAACCCCGGUAUUGCUUUGGAAACUGUGUUGCUAGAGUGCAGGAGAGGUAAGUGGAAUUCCUAGUGUAGCGGUGAAAUGCGUAGAUAUUAGGAGGAACACCAGUGGCGAAGGCGGCUUACUGGACUGUAACUGACACUGAGGCUCGAAAGCGUGGGGAGCAAACAGGAUUAGAUACCCUGGUAGUCCACGCUGUAAACGAUGAAUACUAGGUGUUGGGGAGCAAAAGCUCCUCGGUGCCGUCGCAAACGCAUUAAGUAUUCCACCUGGGGAGUACGUUCGCAAGAAUGAAACUCAAAGGAAUUGACGGGGACCCGCACAAGCGGUGGAGCAUGUGGUUUAAUUCGAAGCAACGCGAAGAACCUUA